rnacentral:rRNA from 1 species
CACGUAGGGCGCAAGCGUUGUCCGGAAUUAUUGGGCGUAAAGAGCUCGUAGGCGGUCUGUUGCGUCCGCUGUGAAAACUCGGGGCUUAACCCCGAGCCUGCAGUGGAUACGGGCAGACUAGAGGUAGGUAGGGGAGAAUGGAAUUCCCGGUGUAGCGGUGAAAUGCGCAGAUAUCGGGAGGACCCCCGGUGGCGAAGGCGUUUCUCUGGCCUUACCUGACGCUGAGGCGCGAAGGCUAGGGGAGCAAACAGG